UCCAUUUUAGCAUUACUAAGGUGAGAAACAAUAAAUAAAAAGAAGCAGGCAAGCAGCUUUCUGACUCUUUGCUUAUUGAAGAUACAACUGACCUUUUCUUGUCAAUAUUCUGACCAUCAAACUCGCGCAAAACUCUAGCGAAGAGAUCCAAAGACAGUGUAGCUGAAAAUCAAGGAACAGGGAGAGACAGAGAGACAGAGAGACAGAGGAGCAUGGAAGGAGAGAUUUACAACUUCUUCAAGGUAUGCAUCACAGCAUUGAUAUCUCUGUGCUAUUGCUACUCAGUGGGCAGGAUCAUCCCAAAAGGCACUAGAAGGCUCUUACCGAUUCUUCCCGUCGCGGCUCUCUUUCUUUAUCUUCCUCUCAAUCUAUCAGCUGUGAAUCUUAUAGGCCAAACUAGCUUCAUCAUUUCAUGACUUGGCAACUCCAAGCUCUUCCUCUUUGCCUUUGGCAAAGGGCCUUUAUCUUCAGAUCCUCCAAUCUCUCUUCCACGCUUCUUGGCCAUUGCUUGCUUACCCAUCAAGAUCCAACAGACGCCCCUUAAGAAAUCACCGCAGAGGACACAGAACACCAAAGAUCACACACGCUUACCUCAAAAUGGCCAUCAUAAAGAAAACCCACUUCCUCGAAAUCCUGAAAACAUUAGACCCAAAACUAUCUUGCUGCUGAACUACCCCACAAAAAGCUUUGCUUUUUGUGAUGCUAUUACGUGUAUACGACUAUGGCGACCUUUUCCAUCCAACCCUGAUCUUGUUAAUCUACUGCUGCCACCUAUACCUUGCCCUUGAUCUGAUCUUAUCAUCCAUACAAGCCACAGCUCGAGCAGCCUUUGGGAUGGAGCUGGAGCCGCAGUUCGGUGAGCCGUACCUCUCGUCUUCACUUCAAGACUUCUGGGGAAGCGGUGGAACCUCAUGGUCACCAACAUCCUGCGAUUGACCAUAUAUGAACCACUCCACUAUGCCGCGUCGGCGGCAAUCGGGCGCAAGUGGGCGGCGCUGCCAGCAGUGAUGGCCUCCUUCCUGGUUUCUGGGCUCAUGCACGAGCUGAUGUUUUUCUACAUGGGGCGCGUGAAGCCUACUUGGGAGGUGAUGUGGUUUUUCGUGCUCCAUGGAGCAUGUUUGGUGAUCGAGGUGGUGGUGAAAAGGAAGUGUGGCGCGAAGUGGCGGUUGCAGAGGGUUUUGACGGGUCUGAUGACGGUCACAUUCGUGAUGGUGACCGCAUCUUGGCUGUUUUUUCCACAGCUCCUGAGGGAUGGUGUCGUCAAGAAGGCGUUGGAAGAGUAUGCAGCUGCAGGCGAGUUUCUUAAGGAUGUCGGUCGAGCUGUGAUGUCUUGGAAUUUGUAGAAUGUCUUGAUGUGAAAUUUCAUGAUUCUGAUUAAUCAGGGAGUUGGGUAUGUUAUCAAGUAGACAUUCUGUGCCUAAAUUUGAUGGAAGAAAAGGGUAGAUAAAAUUUGAAAUGAGGCCUCUCUCGUUCCUUAAUGCGAAUUUCGGCAUCAAUUUUGUUUUCUGCUGUCAUUCCCAUCUCUGUUUCAGGCAAAACAAGAUGAUCUUUAUCAUUCUCUUCUUCUUUUCUUCAUUCUCCACCAGCGGUUGAGGACCCAGUGGUCGUAAAAUGCAGAAACUAAGGUACUACGCAAAUUGUAACGGCUCCGUGGACACAGCAGCACCUACAGUCAAACUCCAGUAGCUUCAAAAUGUCUAAUGGAGGUUCCCCAAAGAUCUUAAGAUUAUCCUAUUGCAAGCGGCCCUUCUUUGCCAUGAAAUCAGCACAGGGAUUUGCCUCUUGAAAUCUGCGCUCCGUCUGGUAUUGGAGCAAGUCUCAGACCCUCUCUGAGAGCGCACAAUUCCGCAAUCGGGGUCGCCAUGGUUCCCCAAAACCCGUAAAAGCCGGAAACCCAAGAGCUGAGGAGAUCACGCAAGAUGCCCCCCACCUCACGCUAGACCGGGGUUCUGAACAACCGAUCCGUCCGUGCUCAAAAGUUGAGUUCACUUUUUUCUAUGGCCUUCUGAAUCAUUUCAUUUAGAUUCCAUAAGAUACCAAAUCUCUCUUUCCAGUUCACUAUAUUAGAAUAAGUUAUUAGAUGGAGAUAGACUAUAUGUGUAUAUAAGCCUCAUAUAAACUACGUAGAAAGGCAACACCAGAUCAUAUUUUAGUACAUCAAAUGUUUGCUAUGUAUAAGUGAUAUAGAGACGGGAGUAAGCAAACUGGGAUAGAAUGAGGUGAUCGUUGCUAUCCAUCAAGAAAAAAGGUGAGAAGAAAAAACAAAGAAAGAAAGGAGAAGGUUCAACUCACCUUAUAAUGCUCGCAAGACUGGAUGGAGACAUCGAAUUGUAGCCUCAGCUAAUUUCCAGCAGUCGAAGAUAUCUAUGUUGCUAUCAUUUGGAAAUUCUGUUCGUGAUAAAUCGAUCUAUGUUUUUACUUA